GCAGAAAUAGGUUACUUUAUUAGCAUGCUUUAAACAUACAACAUUAAACCUGUGUUAAAUUAGACAGUGUCUUCACAGAACAAAAGCACUAUUCAUAAAGUUAACACAUGCAACUGGAUGACCUCCAAAUAUAAGUCUCUGUUAUGUAGAACAUACUGAGCUUUUCGUAAUUUCCUUAUGUCUAUGUGAUCUUAGGGGAACUUAAUAAUAUUAAACAUAUGGAUCAACAGAAUAAUUUAGUUGAAAUGCAUCAAAAUUAUAGAUUAGCACCUGACCUUGCUUUAUUAUUCUAGUUAAUUACAUGUUUUUACACUUCAUACAUUGACUUUAAAUUGUAAAUCUGUAGUUCAGGUACAUUUAUGGGAAUCUCUAGAGCAUAGUUUCAAAUUCCAAUGAUCACCAUAAUUAUAAAAAUAAUUUGAUUUUAAAGCCAGACAGAACAAACAGAAAGAUAUACCAACAUUUGCAAGGAAGUAGGUUAUCAGACAAACAAAACAGUACACUGCCUCCAUAAUAAACUUGCUUCAUGAAUUACAACAGAACAUGUUGUACUUCAUGUCCAUGAACUGCAUACUAGUCAAGUUAGUUUCCGGCUUACAUAACAAAUAUGCAAAAGAAUAAGAAAUUUGUAUGAAGUUUCUUAAAAUAUCUAUAAUAAUUCUAUACAACCAAAACGUGGUCAUCUAGCUCUAAAAAUAUGUAAAAAAUGGAGGUAAUUUGUCAUAAAUAAUAGUUCAUGUUUUAGGUAACUGAAUGAGUAAUAAGGAAAUAACACCAGAGGGUAGUGUGUCUUUUACAUACUGUUAUAAGAUAUUACAGUUAUCUCCUACAAAGAACACCAGCUACACACACAAUUUUUAUACAUGUUGCAAGGUGUGAACAUCGAGAGUUUAUUAUGUUUAUCUCUUGACAUCAAUAUUAAUAUAUUCCAUUGACAGUACAGAGCACACAGAAUAAUUGAACAGAAAUAUAAUUACUACAUAUUGAUUAUGUCACAUCACUUGAAAUAAAUCCAUUACCAUUAAUCUUCCCAUCACUCUGUCAGAUUUAUGCUAUGUGCUGUUUAUUACCCCAUGAGAAACAUGUCUUGAGCUGCAAAACACAAGACAAGCUGCAGAUAUAAAUAAUAGUUCAUGUUUUAGGUAACUGAGUGAGUAAUAAGGAAAUAACACCAAAGGGUAGUGUGUCUUUUACAUACUGUUAUAAGAUAUUACAGUUAUCUCCUACAAAGAACACCAGCUACUCACACAAUUUUUAUACAUAUUGCAAGGUAUGAACAUUGAGAGUUUAUUAUGUUUAUCUCUUUACAUCAAGAUUAAUAUAUUCCAUUGACAGUACAGAGCACACAGAAUAAUUGAACAGAAAUAUAAUUACUACAUAUUGAUUAUGUAACAUCACUUGAAAUAAAUCCAUUACCAUUAAUCUUCCCAUCACUCUGUCAGAUUUAUGCUAUGUGCUGUUUAUUACCCCAUGAGAAACAUGUCUUCAACUGUAAAACACAGGACAAGCUGCAGAUAUGUGCUAUUAUAUUUUAUUGGUGAUGGUAUUAGAUGGUUGUCAAGUGUGUAUUUCUCAUUUGGUUUUAAAGGGUAUACAUAAAUGUCUCCAAAGAGCUAAAAAUAUUCAAAGCAAGGUAUAAAUGACUUGCUUCCACUUUGUAAAAUCUGAUUGUAUCACUUAUGCAAUAAUAUACUUUUGGAAAUUUAUAUGACAUAAUAUAUUUUGCUUGACAUGGAAAAUGUGUUUCUGGAUCUGAGAAAAAUUUUAUGAACUAAGGAACUGAGAUGAUAUUUAAACUAAGAAACACAAAUGUUCCAUUCAAAAUGCACUGAUAUCAAAAAUAAUUUGGUCAGUGCCCAGCAUGGAGAGAUAAAUGAAAUCAAGUGUUUGUCAAGAGUGUGUAGUUGGAAUAUUUAAACAUACCAACAAUUGUUUUAAAAUAUUUGUCUUAAGUAGUUUGAGUCUCGUGCUUGCUUAUAUGAGAUCCAGUAAUGCAAUGUAGGAGACAUGGAGUAUAAAC